rnacentral:rRNA from 1 species
AAUAUAUAGGGAUCUGCCUAAUAGUGGGGGACAACGUGUGGAAACGCACGCUAAUACCGCAUACGCUCUACGGAGGAAAGUGGGGGGUCUUCGGACCUCAUGCUAUUAGAUGAACCUAUAUCGGAUUGGCUUGUUGGUGAGGUAAUGGCUCACCAAGGCGACGAUCCGUAGCUGGUUUGAGAGAAUGAUCAGCCACACUGGGACUGAGACACGGCCCAG